ensembl:lncRNA
GGAUAUGUGUUGAGCAGCUAUUCUUGCCAGGCAGUCUACCUAGCUGCUUCACCCACCCUGACCAUUCAUUUCAUCAGUCAACAAACAUCCGCUGAGCUGCUUCCACAUGCCAGGCACUUGGGAUGCAAAGGCACAGCAGGCCCUGCAUCCAGUUCAUCUGCAAAUUCUGGUGACUGUCUGUUCAUGGUAGAUCCAGAAUAUGAGUUCUUAGCACCCCCACCACGCCUACCCAGGUCCAGGCCACGUCAUCGCUCACCUGGAUUGUUGCAAGAGCCUCCCUCCACAGGCUUCCUGUAUCCAACCUUGCUUCUGAACAGCCUGUUCUCUGUUCUCAAAUCAGCAGCCAGGGGAUCCUGCUGAAAUGAGAGAAGAAUGCCACCAUGCCCUGUCUGCCAUCUACUGCACAUAAUGGGAUGUUGCUCCAGGACCUUGCUUCAGACAUGUGAAUUUAACUCCAGAGUCAAAGUGUUCAAGUACUCUGCUGACCUGGAGGUUGGAUCAAGUAAUUUCUCAUCCUGAUUGACUUCAUGGAAUUGGGCUUCGUUUUCCUCAUCUGUAUAAUGAGGACAUUGGACCAUAUGCAUGAUUCCUAACCUGUGGCUGCCUUUAAAACAAGCUGCUAUAGAGAAUGUGGGUGACUGACAGCCUUCAGCUACUGCCCCUGUGAAUCCGAGGCCACAUUUAUACUAGGCUGCACCCAGCCAGUGACUGAGCAUGGGAGGGUCCUGGUGUUGGCCCAGUGAGGGGCUUCCUCUCAUGGGCAGGUUUGGCUCAGGGCCUCUCCUUCAUCUGACCAAGACUACACUUUAGUCUGAGACUCUUCCUGUCCAAUCCUUCCUUCUCGAUCUCCCUUUCAAGACUUGCACCAUGAUGUGAAGGCACUCCCUGCCUACUCCUGCCUAUAUUCCAUUUAACCUUCAUGGAAAUUACUCUCAAUACAUCUUUUGCACAUGUAAUCCUGUCUUUGUCAUCUGCUACUCAGGGGACCAGAACUGACAACUUCCAUCUUGAGUGGGAGGGUCAGGAAAAUAUUUCAAAGGGUCUGGAAAUUCCAAGUUCAGUAAGAGAUGUCUUUAGACUAUAAAUCCUAGGUUUCACAUGUAUAUGAACUACUACUUUCCAAAUGAAUGUAGAUGGUGAAUAUAGUGUGGAAUCAUUUAAGAGUGUUACUGAAUUUACAG